CUUACAGAUGGGCCCGCGGCGCAUUAGCUAGUUGGUGAGGUAACGGCUCACCAAGGCGACGAUGCGUAGCCGACCUGAGAGGGUGAUCGGCCACACUGGGACUGAGACACGGCCCAGACUCCUACGGGAGGCAGCAGUAGGGAAUCUUCCGCAAUGGACGAAAGUCUGACGGAGCAACGCCGCGUGAGCGAUGAAGGCCUUCGGGUCGUAAAGCUCUGUUGUUAGGGAAGAACAAGUAUCGGAGUAACUGCCGGUACCUUGACGGUACCUAACCAGAAAGCCACGGCUAACUACGUGCCAGCAGCCGCGGUAAUACGUAGGUGGCAAGCGUUGUCCGGAAUUAUUGGGCGUAAAGCGCGCGCAGGCGGUCCUUUAAGUCUGAUGUGAAAGCCCACGGCUCAACCGUGGAGGGUCAUUGGAAACUGGGGGACUUGAGUCAGAAGAGGAAAGCGGAAUUCCACGUGUAGCGGUGAAAUGCGUAGAGAUGUGGAGGACACCAGUGGCGAAGCGGCUUUCUGGUCUGAACUGACGCUGAGCGCGAAAGCGGGGGAGCAACAGGAUAGAUCCCUGUAGCCACGCCGUAACGAUGAGGCUAGUGUAGAGGUUCCGCCUUAGUCUGCGCUACGCAUAA
rnacentral:rRNA from 1 species